AACCAGCACCUCAAGUGGUCAGGAGGAUUAUUGGGCCUAAAGCAUCCGUAGCCGGCUCUGUAAGUUUUCGGUUAAAUCCAUGUGCUCAACGCAUGGGCUGCCGAAAAUACUGCAUAGCUAGGGAGUGGGAGAGGUAGACGGUACUCGGUAGGAAGGGGUAAAAUCCUUUGAUCUAUCGAUGACCACCUGUGGCGAAGGCGACUCACUGGACAGUUAUUGACGCUGAGGUGCGAAAGCGUGGGGAGCAAACAGG
rnacentral:rRNA from 1 species